CCUACGGGGGGCAGCAGUGGGGAAUAUUGGACAAUGGGGGGAACCCUGAUCCAGCCAUGCCGCGUGUGUGAAGAAGGCCCUCGGGUUGUAAAGCACUUUCAGUGAGGAAGAACGCCUGGUGGUUAAUACCCAUCAGGAAAGACAUCACUCACAGAAGAAGCACCGGCUAACUCCGUGCCAGCAGCCGCGGUAAUACGGAGGGUGCGAGCGUUAAUCGGAAUUACUGGGCGUAAAGCGCGCGUAGGUGGCUUGAUAAGCCGGUUGUGAAAGCCCCGGGCUCAACCUGGGAACGGCAUCCGGAACUGUCAAGCUAGAGUGCAGGAGAGGAAGGUAGAAUUCCCGGUGUAGCGGUGAAAUGCGUAGAGAUCGGGAGGAAUACCAGUGGCGAAGGCGGCCUUCUGGACUGACACUGACACUGAGGUGCGAAAGCGUGGGUAGCACACAGGAUUAGAUACCCCAGUAGUC
rnacentral:rRNA from 1 species